AGAGCCGAUGGAGAAAGCAGUAGAUUUCCUCUCUGUGAAACAACCCGAAUCCGCCCUCAUAUCAUCCCUCGUCGUCCCUCCCACCGCCGGCGACCACGCCAGCUACUACGAGGGCUUCUCCCUCCGCGGAAUCCGCGUCGACGACAUCCGACCCGGUUCCAUCACCUGCACCUUCAAAGUGCCCCCUCGACUCACGGAUUUGAGUGAGAGCUUGUCCCCGGGGGCGAUUGUGAAUCUGGUGGAUGAGUUGGGGUGGGCUGCGAUUUGUGCUGAUGGGAGGG
rnacentral:misc_RNA from 1 species